GACGAACGCUGGCGGCGUGCUUAACACAUGCAAGUCGAACGGAAAGGCCCCUUUGGGGGUACUCGAGUGGCGAACGGGUGAGUAACACGUGAGUAACCUGCCCUUGACUUCGGGAUAACUUCAGGAAACUGGGGCUAAUACCGAAUAGGAAUCCUUGCUGCAUGGUGGGGGUUGGAAAGCUUCGGCGGUUUUGGAUGGACUCGCGGCUUAUCAGCUUGUUGGUGGGGUAGUGGCUUACCAAGGCUUUGACGGGUAGCCGGCCUGAGAGGGCGACCGGCCACAUUGGGACUGAGAUACGGCCCAGACUCCUACGGGAGGCAGCAGUGGGGAAUAUUGCACAAUGGGCGGAAGCCUGAUGCAGCAACGCCGCGUGCGGGAGGACGGCCUUCGGGUUGUAAACCGCUUUCAGCAGGGGCGAAGCUUGUGGUGACGGUACCUGCAGAAGAAGCACCGGCUAACUACGUG
rnacentral:rRNA from 1 species